AUAACUGUUCCAAAUUAAUUUUAAGUGUGAAAGACUGCUCACUAUUUCAAUUAUGGUCACAUUAACAACAGUGUUCACUCACAUUGUUUAGUCCACUUAGGUCUCUGAAUAGCUGAGGAUAGUAGGAGAUUGUGUCAAAGUCUUUAACCCAAAACUCAAAACACUUCUUUCUGACUCUUCUGAUAACAGAAAACUUGCAACUCGGUAAAAACAAACUGAAUGAACAUUCUUCCACCCCCAGAUAAUUUAGAAGAUAUAUUUGGUUUGCUUGAUAUUAGGCAAGAAGAUGAGUCCUGUGAGAGAAUCUGACUCCUGUGAGAGAUCUCAAGAUUGGAAGAUGACUUCUCAUGUUGAUUUCUGACAGGAUAAAAGCCAGCACUCUCAGACCUCAGCGGACUCCUACAUUUGCGUGAUCUGGUGAGGGAUUUAGUAGCACAGAGUACUUCGGUUACCUUCACCGCUGACUGACCGUGUUCACGAGUUUGCAGGAUGGACGUCAGGCUGAGCUUUCUCUCCCUCUUAGCACCAGACAGAAGGUAUGUGCAUCCGAGGCAAAGACACCUGUAUGUAUGGCGUGCAUCAGAAGACAUAUGGAAGCAGUCUUUAGUUUCAUGUGACAAUUAAUUGUACGUUCCCAGCUGGAAUAUAGUUUGAGAGCUCAGUUCAUCAGUAGGAGAAAAAAGAAAAAAGAAUGUCUGCAUAAGUGUUCUAACAGCUGUGAGCAGAGGGUCCUGGAAAUGGAACGUGGAGAUUUAGUAGCAAAAAGUCAAGAUUGCUUUAGUUUCUCCUUGAUGCAGGAUCACGUGAAGGGCAAAAGUAACUAACCUGCCAUGUCUCAACCAAGAGCGAUGGCUGGAAGCUUGCUGAGCAGCCAGAGAAUCCAUGAGUCAACACAUAUGCUGUGGAUGUGUGUGUAUGUAUGCUAACAUAUAGUGCCGUGUGACAAAUACAUGAUAUAAAUCACAGCGUCUCACUACUCUCUUCCUUGCUGUUCCACCCCAGUUCCAGGAGGCAGCCCAGUCUCCAGCUGACUCGUCUCCAAGCUCCCCUGUUUGCAUAUUCUGCUGAGUGGACCGUAUGCCCUUGUUUGAUUUCUUUUCUCUUUCCUGUGCAGAGGACACAGGGAAAUUGAAAGCCAGCCUGAUGCACACCAAGGUGAUUGGAGAGGGAGAGCCUCUGGUACAUUAGCCAUUAGGAAUCAGUACGAAGAAAAGCUUUUAGGAUGCCAAUCUCAAAUGGUUUGGGCCAGCGUUAACAGCCUCAAGCUUUGCCAAUUGGAUUUAUUAUCUGUUUUCACCUGUCAUCAGUUCUGAUUGGUGAGCAGUGCAAUACAAAUCCUGCAGUCCACUGGGUCUGUUUUUGUUGUUGAUUUCUUUGGUUCAGCUCAAUGAGAAAGCUGUGACACUGUGAAGCAGACCUCAAAUACCCAUCCCAUUUUCCAUUUACAGCCUGGCUGCAAGCAUCUGUCAGCCUGGGGAGCACCCAGAUGCUGCUUUGUAGGUGCUGCUCACCUUCUAUAAAGGGGAGGAAGAGAUGAGAGUAAAGCAGCUCCCCUUGCUCCCUGGCCGAUACCCAGAGCAGCGUGCACAGCCCAUCAGACCACACUGCAGCAGUUCCCCUCUGCAGCACAUCUGGAUCCUGUCCUGACUCUGCCUCCCCCAUCACAGAGCUCUGUGGUCCCUCUUCUGGAGAGGAGAAUUACCUCUGAUCUUACUUUCAGAAGCAGAGUGGGACCACGCAUGCCUGUGAUGCAGACCUCAAGCUCUGCCUUAGCAGAUGCAUUUUUAAGCCAGUAAUUUUCCAUACCACUUUAUGCUGCAGACAAGGCCUAUUGAACAGUGUAAAAUAGAGAGUGCCUAACAUGCACAAAAUCUGUAAUUAUACAUAUCUCAGCAGAGACCUUCACUUCACACUUCUGCAUUUUGCUAGGCUGAGGCACUCAGACAGUAGAGAAACAGCUGCUUCUGUUUCAGGUCAGUUAAGUGUUGCGUCAGGAUCAAAACAUUCCUCUAGGCUGCUGUAAAAUACAGCAUUUAAACUGAGAAAUGACUGGUUUCUCCACUCCUGUACUUUCUUAUUUCUUGCUACAAGAGGGGUAUUGCAGGAGAAAAUACCUUGAGUGCUAGUGGUCCUGCCAAAGCCAUAAAGGUCGCUGUCAUCACUGAGCCUUAGUGUAAUAGUUUGGGCUGGAUCUCAUUAGAAAGGGACGCUGCUGGAAAGGCGGUGGUAUGUUUACCCUUUGCAGUGGCUGCAGUCAGAGUCCAGGGCAGGAUUUGAUUUUCCAGUUAGAAAGCAAAGAAGAAAUUGAGUCUUAGGAAUGUAGCACACUGCGUGCCAUGAACUGCCAGCUGUGUGUUGCAAUGAAUGGGAACAUGUCCCUAGCAGGUAAUUCCUGGCUGCUCAGAAAAGCUCCAAAUACAGGGAUCUAUUAAUCCAGCUGUUGUUUCAUUAGAUGUAUUUGCUUUCAUUUCUUGCUGCUAAUUAUUUCAUGAAUUACAGUAGCAUAGGAGCUAGCCUAAAGGUGAUUUUAACAUGUGGUUUGCAAAGAAAAAGACAGCAUAACCAACAUAACCAUAUAGCUGGACUAUGACAAGUCAUUGGUUGGCCCCAUCUGAUCCUAAUUGCUAUUUCCUUGGGCUGCCAGAUAAAGGCAAUAGUCCGCUGAUGUACAGCUAUACUGGGAUUCUUUGUGAACCUGCACUGUCAAUAACCACCCACAUGCUCUGACAUCCAAGCUAAGUUACACAUUAACAUAGAUUAGCAUUGUUUCAGGCAUAAAUCAUCCAAAAAAACAUAACUUUCCAAUGGAAAAUAAGAUGACGGCCCACCUUCCCAUGCAGGAUCUUGCUGCCUACAGUAUCAAGCAUUUGACAAGAGCCAUAUACGAUCAGAGAUGUUGUGGCUGUCCAAUCCUUGGCCAGGCUGGAUGGGGCUGGGAGAAACCUCUCUAACUCUAGAGGGAGGGGUCCCUGGCUCUAGCAGGGAAGUUGGAUCUAGAUGAUCUUAAAGGUCCCUUCCAACCCAAACCACUCUAGAAUUCUGUGAUUCUGUGACAGAGAGAAUUCUGAGAUGCCUAUAUCCUUGCCUGUAUCCUUGCCAGUGUACAUUUUAAUGCCUUGCUUGAUGUCAAGGAUUCAGAAAAUAGAAGCAGAGAGAUAUAUGCAUUAUUUUGGAACAUCAAAAGUGUGCCACUUCCACCAAGAAACCCAAAUCUGUUGGGUUUCCUCUGGCAGUAUUUGAGCUUCAGGGGAAAGAAGAGAGAAAUCCCUCGGGGCUUUCCUCCAUAUGGUUGUUUAUUCUCGGUGCACAAUAUACCUUGAGAAUAUCUUCUCUGCUCUAAGCCCUUUCUUGCCUCAUGUACAUCAAACUAUCACACAGCCAUAUCUGGAAAUGUUGUGCUCUCACUUGGGCUAAGUAGGUUUUGCUGGAAGUGUCCUCUCUUCCAUCCAGGAAGAGUUCUUGGUUAUUACACAUUAGACUAAGGUCUCCAGGCUUCUCAUGGAUGAGAGGAGUGAUGGCUUCCAAACAUUUCACCGUCUGUUUCAUUGCAUAAGCAAUUACCAUACACUCUCAGAGAAAAUUUUGACCUACUGUUCAUCUUAUGUGUAGUUGAUCUGUGUAUGGAGAGGAUGUCUGAUGCAUCCCAGAAGUUUUAGACUCAGAGUUAUAUCAUAUUUGGGCUUGGGAAAUCCUUGACAAUGGCCUCUUCAGGAAAAGCACGGCUAUGCAUUUUGGUUUCAUAGUGCAGAGAUUCUGAUAUAUAAAGUGGAAGUAACUGAUAUCUCCAAAAUUGUAGUAAUAUUAAAAUCAAAAAACAUUAGUGUAGAUUAGCUGAGAGAACCAAAAAGUGCUGGGGAAAUGGGAAAGCUGCAUUUUGCCCCUCUCCACAUUUAUAAGGAAUCUGAGACACGGCAUUUUAGGGUUCCUUGAGGCGGGGUCAGUCUUUAAACAUAGAGACUGUAAAGAUCUUAAAGAUACUAUGGCUAAAAUGCUGUGAAAAAGAACAUGAAACAAAAACUGUGAGGAAGAGGGGAGAGAACAACAAAUAAAAUAGGAAGAGGAUACUAUAGAAAGUGGAGAGGAAGAGAAUAAAACCAGAGAGGAAAAGAACAACCUUCUGCCCUCUGAACACAUAUAUACACGCUCACUCACUCAUAGAGCUCCAUAGAGGCCAAUUUAACAUGAAGAAUUUGCUAUGCUUUCAGUGGUUAUGUUAUGUCCUCUAAAGUAAACGACCAAUUCAUCACUAAUGAGGAAACUAGGUAAGUACCUGAUUAGCUUCCAUCAUGCGUCAAAGUCCCAUUGACUUCAGCAAGUUGAAAUCAUUGUCCAGAAGUUAAUGUAAGUAUAUAUUUACUCACCCCUUGCUUUGGCUCAGAGGGCUUCAGGGCAGAGAUUAUGGCCAUUUCAGGAAUGUGAAACUGGUCAUCAAAUCCAGACCCUCCCAGUUGCAAGAACUAUGGAGCAGAUGUUAAAACCAGAGGGAUCUUCAGAACAUCUGUUCUGCAUCCCUUCCCUCCUCCCCAGCAAGCUGCCAAAUUCUUCUUAAGACUCUCUAACAUAGCCUGAACCUUCCUUUGCAUGCUGAGCAUCCAACAUAGCUUUGCGUUCACUUUUAUACAGAACUGUACAUCUUGAUUUGAUCCCUGCUCAGCUGGGACUUGAGAUGUUGUCAUACCAAUUCUACCAAAAGGAGACUGUGCCCAUUCUUUUCAUCUUAUUACCUGCACUAAAUCCCUGAGCUACAGUGGCCUUUAUAACUUCUACAUCUCUACAUCAAUGCUAAUGCACACUGAGGGACCAACUUUGGCUCUGGGCAGCCUGGUCUGGUGGUUGGUGACACUGCACAUAGCAGGGGGGUUGAAACUCGAUGAUCAUUAUGGCCCUUUUCAACCCAGGCCAUUCUAUGAUUCUACAACUCUAAGUUUCAUCAUACAUUUCAUAAGAAUUUUUAAAGGUUAUUUUUUACUUCUGGUUGUGAAAGGUCUUUUUUUUUUUUUUUAUGGGGCAUUCUUUAUAGUUACAUUUUAUGACAAAGUUCAUUAAAAUUGUUAAUAAUCAUUUGAAUUUUUAAGUUUCGCUAGCAUAUUGAACCCUUUCAGUCAAUGAGGAACUGUUAAAUCUGCCUGUAAAUACUCUAAGGGAAGAAAGGACAGAGGCUGGAUGCACAGCCAUUAUUUGCCCUGGGACAUGACCAUAGCAGGGUGAAGGAGCAGCACAGAGGAUGGAGAAUGGGCAUUGCUGUCAGUUCCAGCAGUCCACAUCUGUCACUCCUUCCUCCUCACACUCUUCCCCUGCUCCAGAAUGGGGUCCUUCCCAUGGGAAGCAAUCCUUCAAGAACUGCUACAGCACGGGUCCUCUGUGCAAGGUACCAUCCAUAAACAGGAGACUGCUCCAGCAUGGUCCCUUCUGCAUGGAUACAGCUCCAGCCUGCUCCUGUGUUGGCUGGCUUCAGCUUCCUUCAGGAUAUCCACCUGCUGUGGCAUGGGUUCCUCCAUGGUCUGCUUCCAUCACCAUGGUCCUCUUCAUGGGCUGUCAAGAAAUGCGUGCUCCGGUGCCUAGAGAACCUCUUCCCCCUCCUUCUUCCCUAACCUUGGUGUCUGCAGAGUUUUCUCUCACAUUUUCUCAUUCCUCUCUCUCACAACUGCUGCAGAAUGUAUUUUACCCUUUCUUAAGUGUGUUAUCGCUGAGGUGCCACCAGCAUCACCGAUUGGCUCAGCUGUGGGCAGCAGUCGGUCACCUUUAGAGCUGGUUGGAACUGGCUUUGAUUUAAGAUGGGGCAGGUCUUGGCCUAUUCACACAAGCCACACCUGCAGCCUCCUGCUACCAAAACAUUGCCACAUAAACCCAAUAAAACUGGCCAAGUCAGGGCUGAUUCCUAAGUCCUGUCCAAUACUCAUGUAAAUGGAGGGAUAUCAGUGAGGGGUGGAGGGAGCAGAGCUAUAAUGCAGUGAUGAAAGUCUUCAAGGCUCAAUCUACUUUCCAUCAAAACUGGUCUUCGUAACAUCCACCCCCACACAAAGUGCUAACUUAAAAGGGAAAUAUAAAACAAAUCCAGCACAGAGAAAAUAAAAGGAUUUAGAUAUUAAAAAGGGAACUGAGUACUCAGAUUGAUGGUUUUUUGGGUCAGUGUGGCAAGAUGUUUUCAUUAGAGUUGAAUUCACCCAGCUUUUUUUGCCACCCCACGUCAGGUGCAUGCUAUUGCUGUGAUCUCAGGGCUGGCAAAGCCAGCCUGCCCAGGUAAUGAAUCUCACAGCUGAAUAACCAAAUGGCAGCCCAUCUAGACCAAACCCCCACUAAUCCUGAAAACAUUUUUUUUCUGCUUAGGGAGAGGAAUGAAUCAGAAUAUUUCAUGUUUUGAUUACCCUCCUUGUCUCUCUGUUACAGAGAGUGAACCACGCUAUAAUUCAUAUUUUAAAUUCUGGUGUGAUUUUCCCAUGUUUCUGUCUGGAAAUCUAGCUGCAGACAUUAAAAUAUUUUGGUAGGAACCUGUAAAAAUUGCACUUAAGACGUACUGGUCCAAGCAAUGCCAAGGAAUGAUGCUACCUUGUGGCUGAGGAGGAAAAUCAGAUUUUCCCAUUUCCACAAGCUUAAAAAAGACUAUGGAGCUAUGCAUGGAAGAAACAAAUAUGUACAUCCCAGCUAAGCAAGACAAAGCUGCCCUUAAGCGAUGGCACAAAAGUUCAAUGAGAUAAUCACGUUAGCAUUACUGAGCUAGCCGUGCAUGUGAAGCACAAUACAGCUCCUAUUUCCUAUUUGUCUGCACUAUGAAUCUAAAAUAUUCAUAUUUUAUUGUCCUGCGUUGACAGCAGACUGUUAGAACAGAAGAAUGGCUGGCUUUCUGUCUGAAGUUACACGUCUUAUUUAAUGCAAGCUUGAAUGGCAAGCAGAAUUAAUCAGGUUAUCUACUCCACUUUGUACAAGGUUAUUUGCAGUAACAGACCUUAAGCAGAGCUAGGGUUGGAAGCCUGGUGUCCUUUUCCUUGGCUUAGAUAGAUAUAUUCCACCUGCCUAAAAAAUCUUGAGGGAACUGAGCACUCAGCUCCUGCACGGUUUCAGUAGGAUUUUAGUACUUAACCUGUAUUUAUUCCUCUCUGGAAUGCUUUGAGUCAAGCCACAGCGGGCACAGGGCCGUGGCCUGCUGUGGGCUGGCAGGGCCCUUCAGCCCCACGUACCCUAUGUCUGAGAGCGGCAUCCCAGCACUCCCUGAGCCUCAGCACUGGGGCCAUGCCCACUGCCCUGGGCAGGCUGUUCCAUGCCCACUGCCCUCUGGGGCACAGCCUUUCCCUAACCCACAGCUGACCCUCGCCGGACAUAGAAAGCCCACAGGAACAUCUAUGUUGUCUGUGUGGGUUUUGACUUGAGGAGCUGCAGCCGGAAGCCUGGAGAACUGAGCAUGGUGUAAGGCCCAGAGCAAUGCUGACUGUCACACCUGCCUCAAAAGGAAGCUGCACUGAAAACAAGCGACUUUCAAUAAAGGCUGUGCAUUCAUUUGGAAGUAAUGAAAACAAGCAGAAAGCAGCCGAGGAGCCCUUCUCGGGCUGCAUACCGCUGCUCCCUGCGGUCACACUGUCACCGCUCUCCCCUAGAACUGGGUCCCGACUGGACACAGCUGCCUGCCACAAGGCACUGUGACCCCAUGGAGAGAUGUGCGCUGAGGGACCCCACUGAAAUUCAUGAGUCAUAGAAGAAAAAAUACAUGGGGGAUUCUUUUCCAAUUAUUUUCCAACCCCUGAAGUUGGUGAUGGAGGCUGGUUUUCUCCCAGCGCCUUGCAGAGCUCUUAGACGCUUCAAGCGAGGAGGAAGCUCCCUGCUCUGGUGGUCUUCAAGGAGCAACAGCCAGUCUCCAUCCCCUUCAUCACAGCAGGAGCACUGUGGGCUUUUUUUGUCCACGUUUUCCAUGGGUGUUCCUGCCCCAUAGGCUCCCCUGUGAACUGACUGCCCACACUGCACAGUGGUGGCAACCCGCAGCAUUCAGUGCUCUUCCUUAACCUCUUCUUAGCAUUCAGGAAGCAACGCUGGGAGAGAGGAGGAGGAAAAAGGCUGAUUUUUGCACAGUCAUCAGAGUUACCUAAUGGUUUAUCGAUCAUGUUGCCAGGAAGGAAAUACCCCUAAAGAGCGGCAGUCUGCAUCUCUGAGGGUUUUAACCUCUUUUCAGUUAAACGUGAUGGCCAUUGUAUGAAGAUUGUGGCAGUCCUGGAAGGAUGGACAAUUCCAAUACUAUGUUCUAAAGAAAACAUAAAAGCAUUGAUUUUUUUUUAAGUGCAUUUCACAAGCUCAUUUCCCACCCUACGACCCAGCAAAUCAAAAGUCUUCCUCUCUCACCUGUAAUGAGUGAUGAGCUCAGCUCCCACAGCCUUCUUGAAAAGCCUUGUUGGAUCCCCCCAUGGCUUGGUUGACACCUUAUGUGUUUAAAUUAGUGCUUAAAGAGAUUACUUGGAGUUUAUUGCUCAUACCUUUGUCAUUCACUGGAUAUGCUCAUCCUGUUCUCUUUUUCGAAGCUGAAAUACAGCUUUGCCACUGCUGGGCAUUUGCAGCAGCAGGAUAAAAGCAGCAAGUUUUCCUAUUCUCAGUUUGCACUUUAUCGUCUUUCAUCGGUGCAAGCACACCAAAUCUGAAGUUUAGAAAUACAUUCACUAACAAUUUCUUCCUAUAGCAGAAACCCAAACUAUUAAGGCAAACUAGCAAUUAUUCUUCCACACUAACAUCAACAUAAAGCAGAUUAGAAGAAUUAAAUGCACAAGAGUGCAGUUCUUUUAUGAUUAUGUACUCUUAAUCUUCAGAAGAUGGUUAAUUACAUUUUAAGCAGCAUAAGAGCCCUAACAUAUUUGUAUAUUAAUAAAAAUUCUCACCAGGGGUUUAAAUCUAACAUGUAGUCACAGGUAUAACUAAUGGCAUUUUUCAGUAAUGCUGUGAAAAAAAUAUGCCUGUAAGUUAGUAGGUUCACACAGAAAACUGCUGGGAGUUUUUAAUUUACUCUCUAACUAUUCUCCUAAUCAUUCUCUUAUCAUGCUGGGAUGGCUAAAUGCAUACAGAUUAUAAUGAUGGUGUGCACCCUCCAUAGCAGUGUCAGCAGUGACAUUUGUCAGUGUUUGAAGUCAGGCUGCUGCAAUGAGAGCUCUGCAGCCAAGGGAAAAAGGGAAAUGAAGGGGGAUGAUGCUGCAGCCCUGCUGUUUCACCAGGACUUGUGUUUGCUAGUUUAGGGUUUAUUCCAGUUCAGAAAGUGAUUAGCCUCUAGCCAGCACAGGUCCAGACAUCUGUCUGUGAUUCAGAGCUUUUAGGAAUACUUGUUAACUGUGUCACACUCAGAGACGCUGAAGGUCCAAAGAGACUUCUUCCCUUGAAACCCUAAUAACUGAAGACAGAGACUAUCAUUUAUCCUGCUUCUGGCUCACAGGAAGCUGGAAUAGAAUCAGAGAAUCAUAGAAUGGCUUAGGUCAGAAGGGGUCUUAAAGCCCCCCCUCAGAUCAGGCUGCCCAGGGCGCCAUCCAGCCUGGCCUUGACACCUUCAGGGCUGGAGCACCCCUAAACACCAAGAGUUGAAGUGCAAUUCACAUUCUUUAUCCUGAUCUGCUCUUUGGAAAUUUCAAGUUCGGACAGUCCAGGAUUUGGGCUAGGCUUAAACGUAGUCUGAUGCAAGGCUGAAAUCCAUUUUGCUUCCCACUCUAGGCAGCUCCAGCAAAGCAGAUGAAAUGAGCUUUGAGUGGUCCCACUGCUGGGAAAGAGAGUACCAAAAUGGGAGGCAAAUGACCUCCUCCCAGCUUCACCCACUGGAUUCAUUUCAUCCACUGAUUCCAGAGCAGAGCAAGCUCAAGAGAAUGAGUAUAAUGGAGAAGGGGAAAAAGAGGAGCUGGUGAUGUCUCCUGUAAGCACAGAAGUCAAUGGGGACUGGCCUUACCUCGAGGAUCCAGCACUAAUGAGGAUGAGGAUGUUGCCCUUGGGCUCUCUGAGGACCUUUCCUCUUCUGGGCCUUUGGAUGAGCUGAAGCCAAAAGCCACUAUUGGAAAUAUGGGAAAUCACAAAGCAUCAUAGAAUCAUGAAUCAUCGAAUGGUGUAGAUUGGAAGGGACCUUAAAGACCACUGAGUUUCAACCUCCUACCAUGGGCAGGUUGCCCCCCACCAUCUCAGGCUGCCCAGGGCCCCAUCCAGCCUGGACCUGAGCACCUCCAGGGAUGGGACACCCACAGCUCUCUGGGUAGCAGUGCCAGGGCCCCACCACUCUCCAAAUAAGAAAACAUCCUUGGCCACAGAUUUGCCAUGACUUUGAGGAAGUCACUUCAUCUGACAUCAGCACCACAAGCAACGAAGCCCUCACUGGUAUUGCAUUAAUCUUCAAUCAAAACUUCACAUAAGGAUUACAGGAAUAAACUACUGCAGCAAGAGAAUAUUCUUCAUCUGGAUGACCCCUUUGUUCCACAAGUGUGCAUUAUCGGCAUUUUCACAUCUGUUCAUCACUUGGAGCAACUUUCUUUUGUCCCUUAGUUAGCUCAAGCAUCCACUUCCCCCUCCCAUGCUCCUCCACACCAUACAUUUUUUUUUAAAUCUAAAUACAUUUUCUAAAGUUUAUGACAUGCUGUGUAAUUAAAAUCAAGUUGGCAAAAAAAAAAAGAACUGUUUCAUCCACUACAGCUCUUUUCAUUCUAUAAUCCUCCAGCUGGAGUGCAGGUGGGGAAUUUGAAGUGCUCUCGUACUCAGUGGCAACAGCAAGGCCAAGGUCAUGGACAUGACUAAUGACACUGAAUGUUCGCUGUGACCUUUCUUGUGGCAGCCCAACUUUCAGAAGCUUUACACGAUGCUUUCUGACAAUGAGAUCUCAUAGGAUAUUUUCUAUGAGCAUCCCAAAAUCAGAAAUCACUUCUGCAAGUUGUGACUUCUGCACUCACACUGGGGAUUGCACAGGAAAGGUAUAAACUGCUCAGCACUUCC
rnacentral:lncRNA from 1 species